GACUGUGUGUUCCAUUUAGAGUCCGAUCCCAUCAACAUCUGCAGCAGCAUCAACAUCAAGUUCAGAACCAGGAACUAGUACUAAUCUUGCUGCUGAUGACGAUGACCUUGACACCAGCUUUAGUAGUACAGAGCCUGUAGACCUAUUGGAUGAAUGCUUUCAGACUGGAAUAAGCUCAAGCUCAACAUCAUCUGACUCUGAAACAAGCCAGGACAGCCAAAGGAGACUUGCACUACAAACCAAUCUUCUGCAAGCAGUGGGUGGUGAAGAAAGAGCCCAGAACCCACCUCUUCAGGGAGAGGCUUGUCCACCUGUCUGUGGAGUGCAGAAAGGACCAGACGGUUGUCUACAAGGAGCCAGAGUCACAGCUCCCCAAACCCAAAAUCCCUGCCAACAUCGCCACAGCCCAAAGUCUGCUAAACCAGAUGCCAUUAAUAUAAUUACCCAACACAAGAAGAGGAUCACCAGCUAAAGAACAUUCUCGAGCCUGCCUGGAACAUUCAACCAACACAAUAUCCAUAUUCAGUUAGACUGAUGUUGUAGUAAAAUAUAGAAUGCCUAGUAUGCGCACAACUGCAUUGUGGUAUAAAUAUUGCUAGCUGUUGUACAAACAGUGCAUUC